rnacentral:SRP_RNA from 1 species
GCCAGGGCGGUGGCACGUGCCUGUAGUCCCAGCUACUCUGGAUGCUGAGGUGGGAAGAUGGCUUGAGCCCAGGAAUUCUGGGCUGUAGUGCGCUGUGUCGAUUGGGCGUCUGCACUAAGUUUGGCAACAAUAUGGUGACCUCCUGGGAGCRGGRGACCACCAGGUKGCCUAAGGAGGGGUGAACCRGCCCAGGUCAGAAACGGAGCAGGUCAAAACUCCCGUGCUGAUCAGUAGUGGGAUCGCGCCUGUGAACAGCCACUGCACUCCAGCCUGGGCAACAUAGCAAGACCCUGUCUCUU